rnacentral:tRNA from 1 species
GCGAAAAUAGUUCAGUUGGGAGAGCUUUAGACUAUAGAUCGAAAGUAUCUGGUUCGAUCCCGGGUUUCGGCA